GGAACCUACGGGAAGCAGCAGUGAGGAAUAUUGGUCAAUGGGCGGGAGCCUGAACCAGCCAAGCCGCGUGAAGGAAGAAGGCGCCAGGCGUCGUAAACUUCUUUUGUCGGGGAACAAGGGGCGUCACGCGUGGCGUUGUGAGUGUACCCGAAGAAAAAGCAUCGGCUAACUCCGUGCCAGCAGCCGCGGUAAUACGGAGGAUGCGAGCGUUAUCCGGAUUUAUUGGGUUUAAAGGGUGCGUAGGCGGUCCGGAAAGUCAGCGGUAAAAGCCCGGGGCUCAACCCCGGCGAGCCGUUGACACGGUC
rnacentral:rRNA from 1 species